CACGGGGGGUGCAAGCGUUAAUCGGAAUUACUGGGCGUAAAGCGUGCGCAGGCGGUUUUGUAAGUCAGAUGUGAAAUCCCCGGGCUUAACCUGGGAACUGCGUUUGAAACUACAAGGCUAGAGUGUGGCAGAGGGGGGUGGAAUUCCACGUGUAGCAGUGAAAUGCGUAGAGAUGUGGAGGAACACCGAUGGCGAAGGCAGCCCCCUGGGUUAACACUGACGCUCAGGCACGAAAGCGUGGGGAGCAAACAGG
rnacentral:rRNA from 1 species